rnacentral:rRNA from 1 species
UACGUAGGCAGCGAGCGUUGUUCGGAAUUACUGGGCGUAAAGAGUGUGUAGGCGGUGCUCUAAGUUCGGUGUGAAAUCUCCCGGCUUAACUGGGAGGGUGCGCCGGAAACUGGAGUGCUCGAACGUGGGAGAGGAAAGCGGAAUUCCUGGUGUAGCGGUGAAAUGCGUAGAUAUCGGGAGGAACACCAGUGGCGAAGGCGGCCUUCUGGACCAGCACUGACACUCAAGCACGAAAGCGUGGGGAGCAAACAGG